AAUUGCAAAAACGCCCCCCAACCAAUCCCCCACCCAACCCACGAUCUGAGCUUCAGUUUCUCCCAUUCUCUCUUCAUUGUCUUCCCCAAUGCUUUCCCGCUAUGCCUGGCAUCACCCCGUCUCGCCCUCUCUGACCGCGAUGAUCCCACGGAUUCGACGUAGUCCUUGCCGGAGUCACAGCCGUUUCUCGAUCCUUGGCUCUACUUCCAGCAGCUCUCUGCCCAUUGCUUAGGCUUUUUCUCCUGACCGCUGCUCUUCCCGUGGAACCCGUAGCCGCGACUGUUCUCCGCCUCGCGGUCCGUGCAUCCGCCACCGCCUCCAUCACCCACGCUGAGCAGUUAGCAUGUGGUUUCCUCUCAACCAAACCGUGACCUCUGUCUCCCCCCGCCCCGAAGACAGAGCUGCUUUUCACCAGGCCGGAAUUGAUGGAAAAUUGCCAACUGCCGAAGGUACAGAUUUUGGCAAGGGUUUGGCCGCUACUUCUUUGUUGGCGGCUUCCAAGCUGAGGGGGCUCUCUACUGCUGAGCCAAGUUCUUCUAUUUCACGGCUCUUCAAUUCUUUCUAGGCUCCCAGUUGAGUUGGGCGGGGUGCUAACGGUGAUGCCAGCCACUGCACAGUGUUACAGCUUCUGGUCUGCUCACUUUGUUGCUCUCUUUCAGCAGACACAGCUGGGGCUGUCAAUCUGAAGAACAUUCAUCAGUGAUUGAUCAGGUUGCUUACGAUAUUAGUGUCGUGGUUCAGACAGAGACAGAGGCGAAAGGGAAAGCCAGAUCAAGAGAGCUGAAGAUACUGCGUAAAGCAAAAGAAAAGAAAGCUCAGUUCCAUUUGUGAAACUUUGCUGGCUCAGGCAGUGGCUUCUGAAAGUGUUGCAACAUCUGUUGGAGGGCCUUUUCUUUCAGUUAAGGGGCAGUUUCAACCUAGCGGUAUUAUAUGGCAGAUUUCCAAAGAGAUUUGCACAUGCAUCUACUUCGCCAAUGGUGGAAGCAGCUUCAUCGAAUCCUCUCAGUCCAACCACAUAUGUAAGCAUCAAGGUCUGAGAAGGGAGUCCGUUCUGAGCGUGAACGGCUACCUCACUUUACUAACUCACAGCAUUAGAGAACUGCAGAUAUCAGAACAACGGCCCAAUGCUUGAACUGCAUUUAUCUCUGGGAUGAAUGGUGAGCUCUUUUGCCGGAGCGGCCCUCUUUGGUUGCACUGCAGAAUGUUGCUAUCAGCUAUUAAAAACAGUUGUAUGUAGUUUAGCAUGCUUUUAGCUCGUCUUUGAGAAUGAGCGGUAGAGAGGGAGGGAGGGGCAGUUUCCAGUUCAUUGUCUUGCUUCCUAUUUCUCGGCGAUUAUUUUGGUGUCCAAGAGGAUCUCAUUGCCUGUUAAAUUUUGACAUGAACAUCCAUAUAACCAACUUAUACCAUGGGCCUAUAAGAAGAGCACAGACUUCUAGUCAAAUACUCGGUGCAAGGAGUAUGAAUAAGUAGAACAGAAAUUGAGAAGUACUCUAGCAGGAACGCAUGGUUGUCUGCUGCUUCUGCCAUGGAACCUGAGGGACUCUGCAUAGUUCAUGUGUCUGCACCAGUUUCAGAAGCGUAAGGACCAAGUAUACGCAUCUGAUUCAUUGAAGGGAACAAUUAUGUUAUGAAAGGCAUCUUCCUUUACUCAUUACUUCCCUUAAUUAUUUGCAAAUGAAUGAAGAACCAACACCCCUCAAAGCUCACUGAACCAGAGGGAGCUAUCGCCCGUACUUUUGAAAGGACAAGCCCAAAGAGAGUAAAAGUCUAAUGUACUGCAAAUUUCCAAUGUAUAAAAUACCCUAUAUUUUGUUUCCCUUUAAAGAAAUAAUACUCGCGUUGCUUA